rnacentral:rRNA from 1 species
GCAGGCCUAAUACAUGCAAGUCGAGCGCACCUUCGGGUGAGCGGCGGACGGGUGAGUAACGCGUGGGAACGUGCCCUUUGGUACGGGAUAACUGAGGGAAACUUCAGCUAAUACCGUAUGUGCCCUACGGGGGAAAGAUUUAUCGCCAUUGGAGCGGCCCGCGUUGGAUUAGGUAGUUGGUGGGGUAAAGGCCCACCAAGCCGACGAUCCAUAGCUGGUCUGAGAGGAUGAUCAGCCACACUGGGACUGAGACACGGCCCAGACUCCUACGGGAGGCAGCAGUAGGGAAUCUUGCGCAAUGGGCGAAAGCCUGACGCAGCCAUGCCGCGUGAAUGAUGAAGGUCUUAGGAUUGUAAAAUUCUUUCACCGGGGAAGAUAAUGACGGUACCCGGAGAAGAAGCCCCGGCUAACUUCGUGCCAGCAGCCGCGGUAAUACGAAGGGGGCUAGCGUUGCUCGGAAUUACUGGGCGUAAAGGGCGCGUAGGCGGAUGUUUAAGUCGGGGGUGAAAGCCCGGGGCUCAACCUCGGAAUUGCCUUCGAUACUGGACAUCUUGAGUACGGGAGAGGUGAGUGGAACUCCGAGUGUAGAGGUGAAAUUCGUAGAUAUUCGGAAGAACACCAGUGGCGAAGG